rnacentral:rRNA from 1 species
UACGUAGGGAGCAAGCGUUGUUCGGAUUUACUGGGCGUAAAGGGCGCGUAGGCGGCAUGACAAGUCACUUGUGAAAUCUCUGGGCUUAACCCAGAACGGCCAAGUGAUACUGUCGCGCUAGAGUGCGGAAGGGGCAAUCGGAAUUCUCGGUGUAGCGGUGGAAUGCGUAGAUAUCGAGAGGAACACCUGAGGUGAAGACGGGUUGCUGGGCCGACACUGACGCUGAGUGCGCGAAAGCCAGGGGAGCAAACGGG